AUCUUGUCCAGGCACCUCAGUGAGACAAGACACAGCUCCCUCUCCUUGCAGCUCUCCCUGAAGAUGCAGAAAUAGUACUCUACCUCCUUCAGUUCUUGCUGCCAGGGCUUUAUCUCCCAAAGAGGGAAGAUUUUUCUCGCAACUUGAGUUCUCAUUUAACUCCAGUCUACUGUCUUUUUUUUUUCAGCCAGGAGGGUCCACUAGUCAGCAUUAGGCCCCUCACAAACUUGCAAACUCAAAGAUAGUGGUGGAAGUGACUAUUAGUCUUUUCAUUUCAGGCCAGCUAAACACAAUUAUCUCCACCUACAUUCUUCACUUGGUUCCUGUACUGUGCAGGUUUUGUUGUUGUUGUUUUUUUAAUCUAUACUGUUUGCAAUUUUUCCACUAUUUUUUUCAAAAAUGUGACUGGGGUACAUUGAAUUUUUGUUUCCCAUUCUUCACUCUCUCUCUGUUACAGAAUUCUACACCCGUGACCUUUGCCAUGUGACUUUGCAGUGGCUCUCACUAGAAUGAGUGCAGUGUUUUUCCUCACCCCAUGGAAGCUUGGCUCAGCCACAGGCUUUGCCUUGAAUAACAGACGCUAGUGGAAAUGAUGUAAAAGAGGCUUUAAAUGUGCUUGCAUGAUUUGACUUGGCCUGUUGUAUUUCCGCCAUCACCGUAAGAAGACUAUGCCCCAGGUGGUGCCAGUUCCAGAACAAAAUAUAUAAAGCAGGCCCAAAGUAGACCUGGAGCCUGGAGCCAUGCCCAGUGGAGCCCAGCCAAGAUCAGCUGAGUCCCUGCCAAUCCACAGACCUGUGAAUAAAAAAAUGAAUGUUUGUGGCGUCAGCCAGUGAGACUUGGGGCAUUAUUUGUUAUACAUUAUUGCGGUAGUUGAUGACUAAUAAAAUUGCCAAAAUAAGGUCUGAUUUAGACUAGAGAUGAAUUAUUACCCUAUCCUUGCAUCACACACUCCUCAAACCACCUCUUUUGUGACACCUUCCUUGGUUCCUUUAGCUUCUCUACAACUUGUCCACCCUAAAUCCUUCUUUUUGGUGUCCUAUAUUUGGGCCCCUGAUCAUAGUCAAUAAAACGUUUUCUAGAAGUCAGUCUGACAUAUUACUCAAUACUUGCAUGUUUGAAACCUUAUCAACAAGACUAUAAAGUCAUUGAGAACAGGGACCAUGCGAGUACAGGAUGGAUAAUAAAAUACUCUUAUUAGGAACAUUCUGUACCGUGAUCUCUCAUCUUUGGCAGAAUAAGGCUUCCAGAUGUUAGCUGGAAACACAUCACCAUUGCAUUCAUGGAAUUAGCAUAAGGCUAUGCA
rnacentral:lncRNA from 10 species